rnacentral:rRNA from 1 species
GACGUAGGGCGCGAGCGUUGUCCGGAUUUAUUGGGCGUAAAGCGCGUGUAGGCGGUCCGGUAAGUCCGCUGUGAAAGUCGGGGGGCUCAACCCUCGGAUGCCGGUGGAUACUGUCGGGCUUGAGUACGGAAGAGGCGAGUGGAAUUCCUGGUGUAGCGGUGAAAUGCGCAGAUAUCAGGAGGAACACCAAUUGCGAAGGCAGCUCGCUGGGACGUUACUGACGCUGAGACGCGAAAGCGUGGGGGAGCAAACAGG